UACGGGGGGGGCAAGCGUUGUUCGGAAUUACUGGGCGUAAAGGGCUCGUAGGCGGCCAACUAAGUCCGACGUGAAAUCCCUCGGCUUAACCGAGGAACUGCCUGUCAGACUGGAAGGCUUGAGACCGGGAGAGGUGAGUGGAAUUCCCAGUGUAGCGGUGAAAUGCGUAGAUAUUGGGAGGAACACCGGUGGCGAAGGCGGCAUCCUGGACCAACACUGACACUGAUGAGCGAAAGCCAGGGGAGCAAACGGG
rnacentral:rRNA from 1 species